AGUUACGUAGCGUAGUGGUCAGCGCCUACGCCUACCGCGUGCUUAGCCUUAGAGCCUUUAGCGAUCCUAGGGUUGAGCAGGCUUCGCGCGAGGUUGUAGGUUCGAAUCCUAUCGUAAUUG